GUUUGAAAUUUAUCUCAUAGCUCAGAUUGGCUAGAGCACCCGAUUAGUAAGCGGGAGGUCUGGAGGUCCAAUUCUCAAUGAAAACA